CUUGGUCAGGCUUAAAUUAAGGAGUGAAGGUCAAACAUCUGGGGACCCACAGGUUGAGAACCACUGGGCGAAUCUGUGAGAAGACCUUGAAGCCCAGGUGCAUUGGACAUGAUUUCAUGGCUACUUGGUCAGGCUUAAAUUAAGGAGUGCGGACCAGUUUAUUAGCUGUUAGGCUUUCUGGGAGUUGAAGGUCAAACAUCUGGAGACCCACAGGUUGAGAACCACUGGGAGAAUCUGUGAGAAGACCUUGAAGCCCAGGUGCAUUGGACAUGAUUUCAUGGCUACUUGGUCAGGCUUAAAUUAAGGAGUGAAGGUCAAACAUCUGGAGACCCACAAGUUGAGAACCACUGGGCGAAUCUGUGAGAAGACCUUGAAGCCCAGGUGCAUUGGACAUGAUUUCAUGGCUACUUGGUCAGGCUUAAAUUAAGGAGUGAAGGUCAAACAUCUGGGGACCCACAGGUUGAGAACCACUGGGAGAAUCUGUGAGAAGACCUUGAAGCCCAGGUGCAUUGGACAUGAUUUCAUGGCUACCUGGUCAGGCUUAAAUUAAGGAGUGUGGGCAUCACGCCUUUCAGAGGACCACUGCUUGAGGUCCUCCAGGGCAAUUCUAUGGUGGGUGGAAAAGUCUGUUGUAUUUUAGUUAUUGCUUUUGAACAUUCUGGACUUAUUUUUAGACAGUGACUCCUAGAAUCCCCAUUGGCCACAGUGGUUGGAGGAGCCUGGGAGUUGUGAUGCAACAAAAGAACUUCUUGAAGCAGUGGGUGGAGGAGCCUGGGAGUUGCAAUCCAACAAAGCAACUUCUUGAAGCAGGAUUGUUUUGGGGCGGUUGUGGCACAUUCGGAGCACAUCCCGAGUCAUGGAAAGGCCUGCCUUUGGCUAAUCUUAUCCGGGACGUUUCUCGAAAGAUGAGCAAGUGUAGGAAGAGAAGAAAGCAGUGUGUGUCCCAGAUAAAUCAAGAGGUCUCCCGCGAGACAAUUGGAUACAUUUCUACCAUCAUGGAAGAAGUCAACACUCUGUUUCCGCAACCGGCGUCUCACAGUAUCUUCUCCUCGCCUCCCAGAUAAUUAAAACUCUAUAUUGCUUC